rnacentral:rRNA from 1 species
GUGGGGAAUAUUGGACAAUGGGCGAAAGCCUGAUCCAGCCAUGCCGCGUGUGUGAAGAAGGUCUUCGGAUUGUAAAGCACUUUAAGUUGGGAGGAAGGGCAGUAAGUUAAUACCUUGCUGUUUUGACGUUACCAACAGAAUAAGCACCGGCUAACUUCGUGCCAGCAGCCGCGGUAAUACGAAGGGUGCAAGCGUUAAUCGGAAUUACUGGGCGUAAAGCGCGCGAAGGUGGGUUUGUAAGUUGGAGGUGAAAUCCCCGGGCUCAACCUUGGAACUGCCUCCAAAACUGCAUGGAUAGAGUACGGUAGAGGGUAGUGGAAUUUCCUGUGUAGCGGUGAAAUGCGUAGAUAUAGGAAGGAACACCAGUGGCGAAGGCGACUACCUGGACUGAUACUGACACUGAGGUGCGAAAGCGUGGGGAGCAAACAGGAUUAGAUACCCCGGUAGUCC